GAACCUCACCACUUCCAUUCCAAAACCUUGAAAUUCCAUCGACCAAUUUCACCCCUCUUAUCUUUGAAUCUGCAUACAUCAAACACCGGUUCCGCCAGCGACCUCCUCCGUAAUAUACCCUCUCCAUCAUCAUCAAGUACGACUAUUCCCUUCUCCCUGCUUCAACCUCCUUUAUGGUCAAUCUCCUCAACCAUAAAUCCCUCUAUUAUCACAUCUAUUAGCAUCCUCACAACAUCAACCUUCCUUCACACUUCCUCAUCGCCAUCAUCAUUCUCCAACCCAACGAGAUCUCUCUUCCACACAUCACAUCUCUUCAUCUAG